rnacentral:tRNA from 1 species
GCGCUCGUAGCUCAGUUGGAUAGAGCGUUUGGCUACGAACCAAGAGGUCAGGGGUUCGAAUCCCUUCGAGCGCACCA